UUUAAAAAGGGGAAAUUACAAUUCAAAUCUCCUUCCUUGUAAUUGAUAUUGUCAUUUCACUUAGUUCCCAUUACAUUGUUUCACAAAAGCUCAAACUGUUGGAGCAGCUCCUUUUCUUGGGCUACCAUCCACACUCGUAUAUCUCAAGAUGUUUGAGCUCAUAUUCCCUAACUACGAACUUCUGUCGUUGUUCUUCAUUAUGAAGUUGUUGUUUAGCAUCUUGUUCUUGCAGUUCUCUUACUACGUUCAUGAGUUGUGUAAGCAUAAGACUCUUCCCCUCAUCAACGUUAUAGUGGUCGAAACCAUUUUCAAAUGUAAGUACAACCAUUGUAGUGAGUAAGUUUUUCAAUAAAGAUGGAGCGAAGGAAAGUUUUACCAUUGUCCAACGGGGAGCGCCAAUGUUCACAUAUGUAAACACAAAAUACAACAGAUGAAUUAUCCUAUUGAGUCAACAAAGGAGGACUCCAAGAAUACUCUAAAAUAGUUAAGGUAAAAUACAUUGUUCACACUAAAAAAAAUGAUUUAUCUCAUCUCUUCCUAAGUGUUUUCCUCAUAUAGUCUUCACUCUUUGAUCAAAUGGGCCUUUCUUUGAACGUCGUGGCCCAUUUAGUUUAACAAUUCUGAGGUCAAUACUACUUUUCGUCCUUGGGGUAGGCUACCUCCUCCUUACCUAGCUCAUUCGUAUCGAGCGCGUUGGGCUAUAGCACACGCAGCUCACGUCACUUGUCAAAGCAAUAACUUACCACAAUUAACAAAGUUCAGCUCAACGUGAUCUGAAUGGUUGAGUUGGGAUAGGUUGGACCUGCAUAGUUGAGCUUAGUUUGGUUGGACCUGAACGGUUGAGCUAAGCUUGGUUGGACUUGAACUUUUGAGUUGUGCUUGGUUAUCAUGGAAUGGCAAAGGCCACGUGGUAUGAUCAUCCAUACCAUUCCAAUAUCAUAUUUGACUAGUAAAUAGAAACCCCAUGGCAAAAAUCUUUUUAAUUUGAGAAUUAUGCUCAACUAAAAUUGGUCUUGAAGUAGUACUUUGGCAUGUAUCUAUAUGUGACCAUUUUAUGUUGUGCUUCUAAUUUCACCCGAACAGUUCGUAUUUCAUUUUCUUAUGGUUUUUGAGGGUUGUGUCCGCAUAUACAGCAUUUGAAUUAAUUUUACAGAUUUAGUAUUGCCUAGCUAUUAACUCAUGUUUAAAAUAAUGUUAUUCCAAUUGAUCCUUGUGUCCAUUUAAUUUUUCUACAAAAUUAUGCAGAACUUGGUUACAUAUUCCAAUUCAAAAGUCUGACACUUAAUUCAAUUCAUACACAGUCAAGCCUUGUAAACCAGAUCCUAUGUCCUCCAGUUAGAAGCACAUCAAAUUUUUAAUCCAAAUUCUGCAUAGUUACGCAGAGAAAUGGGCUUAACCCAACAGGAGUUCUAAACGGGAUCCUUGAAACUGAGUUGAUAGAAAUUAUCUAGCAAUACUUAUAUAUUUUUUAGUGAUUCACCUGAAAUGCAACUCCAUAUGGUCUGCUGUCAAAAUUCACAAACAGCACCAACAUGAAGCCCUCAAAUGCAUCUACUCAAAUCUUAAAUGACUUAAGGAUGCAUCAUUAGUACGUGAUCGUCACUACUGCAGCAAUUGUUAACAGCAUAAAGAGGACCAUUGUUUUUCAUCAAUUGAAAAUUUUCAAAUAACAAUAAAUUAUUCUUACACUUGUAGAGGCGAAGCAGCAAGGAUGAAACUGGGGGAUUUUCCUCACUGCCCACAACAUUAAUUGUGACGCAGCGACUGGUCAAUGCAGAGGCAAUCAGAGUAGCAACGGGUUGGCGCAAAGUCAGGCCGGAAAUCCUUCUGUUGUUUCUCCAUUCUGGUAAACACAAUCUGUUGUACUCUUCAGUUUAACUACUUUGUAGCUAACAAAGACACACACAUGCAUAUUGGAUAAAUAAUUAUUUCUAAUUUCAUGCUAGCUACAGAAUCCUAUUUCUGUUAUGUCAACAAAAGUUCAAUUAUGAAGAAGACAAUCUUUAUAGCACUUGAACCAAAAUAAA